AUGUCCAACUUUGCGCUUGGGUUGACGAAGACGGCAGUGGAGGGGACAUUGAGCAGGGUCCAGUUAGCGAUCGAUGAAGAGAACAAGCUGAGGGAGACGGCAAAGCAAGACCUGCGGUAUAUCACAGCUGAAUUUCAGAUGAUGCAAUCCUUUCUAAAGGUUGCUAACAAGGAGCGUGCUAGUAAUGAAGUGGUGAAGCAGCUCCGGGACCUUGCUUUUGAUGUCGAAGACUGCGUUGAGUUUGUUGUUCAUCUGGACAACAACGAGUCGUCCUUGACCUGGUUGUGGCGCCUGCUGCCGUCCUGCAUGGCACCGUCUCAGACUCGGGACCUGGACAAGGCAGUCACUGAGUUAAAGGUGCUCAAGGCAAGGGUCGAGGAUGCAAGCCAGAGGAACACACGCUACAACUUCAUCAGUGAUGCCGGCUCCCAAGCCGAUACCACCACGCCGACCGAGCAGGCCUCUCUGUCCACCAUCAACCCAUCCGCAUUCCACAUGCUAACUGAGGUCUGGGAGGCUGCUGGGAAGCGACGCGGCAUGAGCAACCUACAGGACUUGAUCAUGGGUGAAGGCAGUGACCUUCAAAUGAUCUCCAUAUGGGGAAGUACGGCAGCUGAUUUUGGGACAGCGUCCAUUUUCAGCAUGUUGUAUGGCGACCCAGAAAUCUGCCGAGCAUUCAGAAGACGUGCAUGGGUAAAGUUGAUGCAUCCUUUCAAACCUGACGAGUUCCUCAAGAGUUUGCUGACUCAGUUCUACGUGAGAUCUCACCAAGAAAACAUAGAUGUAGAUCAUCUCACGAAGGCUGAGCUCAUGCAACAAGUGAAGGUGCACAAGUAUCUCAUCAUUCUAGAAGAAGUAUCCGGUGUGGCGGACUGGGAUGCCAUCCGAGAGUACCUGUCGGACAAUGAGAAUGGCAGCCGAAUCAUCGUGUCCACAAAGCAAUUAAGGAAUGCACUCUUGUGCACAGGGGGCGGGGAGUACCAAGUUUCAGAGCUCAGGAGAUUCUCUGAUGAUCAAUCUCUUUGUGCCUUCUCCAAGAAGGCAGGGCGUCACAGUGGUAUGCACGAUCUUAUUUGGCAAAUAAGGUGUCGUGGUGUGAUUUCACUAUGGGGGAUUAGCUAUGCCAAAUCAUCACUCAUCAAUAAAAUUUACACCAGCAUAGUGUAUAAGAGUAAACAAUUCGAUGGAGUUGAAUUUCAACGACACAGCUGGGUGGACGUGCCCGCUCCUUUCAAUUUUGGGGUCUUCUCUCGGCGCUUACUUGUAAGUUUCCGCUCAGAAGAUCUUCAAGCCGAAGAAAUUGCAAGGGUUGGUAUGAUGGGAGCCAGGCCUAACUCAAGAGUGUUGCAAGUUUCUGCAUGA
rnacentral:rRNA from 1 species